ACUCGGGAGCUGGCCAAACAUAAAGAGCUUGCCUCAUAUGAUGAGAGCUGGUUCUACACAGGAGCUGCUUCCACAGUACGGCAUCUGUACCUCUGUGGGAGUGCACAGGUUGGUUCCAUGACUAGGAUCUGUGGAGGAUGGCAGAGAAACAGUGUCGGACCCAGCCACUUCAGCAGAGGCUCUAAGAGUGUGGCCCUCCGGGUCCUCCAAGCCCUGGAGGGGCUGAAAAUGGUGGAAAAGGACCAAGAUGGGGGCUAUAAGCUAA
rnacentral:lncRNA from 1 species